GGUGGGCAGACGAAAAAAAGAAUCUUUUCAAUAUCACAAAGAGAAUUUACAACAGAAUCAAUGGGUUGAGCACCAGAAUGUUGUCGCAAGGAGGCAAGGAAGUUUUUUUGAAGUCGAUCCUGCAGGCUAUUCCAACAUAUGCAAUGUCGUGUUUUUUUGUUACCGAAGUCUUUUUGUAGAGAUUUAGAAGGCAUUUUUGCUAAGUUCUGGUGGCAAAAAGCUCAUGGGAGAAAAGGAAUUCAUUGGUGUAAAUGUACUUACUUGUGCCGGUCUAAAGGAGAAUGAGGCUUGGAAUUCAGAGAUUUGGCUAAAUUUAAUGUCUCCUUAUUAGCUAAACAGUGUUGGAGAAUUUUGACCUAUCCAGAUUCGUUAUUAGCAAGUUUUAAAAGCAAAAUAUUUCCCGAAUAAUAAUUUCCUAGAUUCAUGUUUGGGGAACAAUGCUUCGUAUAUGUGGAAAAGUAUUUGGGCUACAAAGAGUAUUUUAAAAGAAGGUAUGGGCUGGAGAGUAGGCAGGGGAGAACUAAUUACAGUUGGACGCAACAAUUGGAUCCCUGAUGUUGGAAGAAACAGAUUAUCAGCUAUAAUCACGAAUUUGAACGAUUGUAAAGUUGCCAAUCUAAUCAAUCAAAAUAACAGAACAUGGAAGGAAGAGUUGAUAAUUUCUACCUUUCGAGAGGAUGUAGCUGAGAAGAUUAUUGGUAUCCCAUUGGCAAAGGAUCCCCAUGAUGACUUCCGAGUCUGGAGUGCUGACGCAUCAGGUGAAUUCACAGUUCGCAGCUCCUAUAAACUAUUACAGAAUAUCUAGGAUGACCCUAGAGCUUAUGCUUUACAAGAAGGCUACAAGGAAUUCUACAGGAAAUUAUGGCUACUAAAUCUUCCCUUAAAAAUCAAAAUUACAAUCUGAAAGAUAUCGUGAAAUUUUUUACCUACACGAGUUAAUCUAGUUCAGAAAAAGCUAAUAAACAUUACAGUGUGUCCACGAUGUGGAGUUGGUUCAGAGAGUAUGAAUCACCUUUUCCACGAAUGCCCUGUGUCAAAAUCAGUAUGGAAGGAAUUACCAUGUAAUGCUAUGGUGCAAGAACAACAGAUGGAGUUUACAGAGUGGCUCACCGAAGUUUUUGCGAAGAACUCGGAAUCUCAGUGUAGGAUGUUUUGUUGUACUUUAUGGGCUAUAUGGGGAGACCGAAAUAAUAGAGUGCAUAAUAAAGUGAGCAAAUCUGGAAAAGAAAUAAGUAGAUUUGUUAGUAGCUACAUACAAGAGUUGGAUGGGAUAGGAAAAAGUAAAGCAGAAGCUUAUAAAUCUACAAGCAAAUGGAAGAAGCCACCUGACCAGAUUGUGAAGAUAAACUUUGAUGCAGCAUAUGACGGAAAGAGUAAGCAAUCGGCGGUGGGGAUUGUGGCUAGAGACAACGAAGGUAAGGUCUUACUCUCAUGCUCGAUGAUUUACCAAUAGGUGGCAUCCCCUUUUGCAGCAGAGGCGCUCGCAAGCCGGAAAGCGAUCAAAAUAGGUAAAGAAAUGAAAUGGAGAAAAAUCAUUAUUGAAGGAGAUUCACUAUCGAUAAUAAAGAAAUGCAGAUCUAAUAUCCCAGAUAAAUCAAAGGUGUGUGCCUAUAUCAGUGAUAUUCAUAAGCUACAAUCAAGUUUCCAGGAAUAUAGAUUUGAACAUGUUCCAAGAGCAGUAAACAGCCUUGCGCAUAUGAUAGAAAAAGCAACGUUGAGGGAUAAACGAAUAUUAUACCUGGUUGAGGGAGUCCCAGAAUAUGCAAAAGAUCAGAAUGGGAGGGAUCGGGGGGGGGGGGAAUCGGAUUGAAUGAUAGGGAUGAAAAUGAAAUGGGUAAACCGAGAGGUAGCAGGUAAAGCAAUGACAGAAUAAGGGGUUUCCUCGGGAGUAUGAUUUCAUCAUGAAGAAGUUUUGGCAGGUGAAGGAACAAGACGAUUAAAAGUUUUGAUGCUGAUUGGGAAAGAUUUUACAGCAGCAUUAAUGGCUUCCAGAAGGUUCAGUUAUGCUGCUUUUUAGGAUCUAAUGGUAGUAGCCUUUUGACGUUUCAGUUUUUUCAUUUUUUAUUGUUUUGUUUUGGUGAUAGGAUCAAGGCUCAAACCGGGCCUGGACUGGUUCUGUUUUUGUUUUUUCAUUUUUGAAUUCAAUAAUACAGC
rnacentral:lncRNA from 1 species